CCAGGAAGUGGACGAAAUCCCACCGCCCUAGUGCCGUAGCGGCCACUGCAACUCUGUGGCUUUGCCAAGAACAAGGAGGAGCAGUGGCAGGCAAUGUCCUUCCUUUUAUUUGGCCGGGGGCUUCGAAAUUAUCUGGAUCCGCUACUGUCACGGACCCGCGUUUCGCCAUGGGCAGAAUUCGGUGUUGCCUAAUCGCCGGUAAGCUCUCUGUGCAUCUACGUAUCUAGUUUAGGGGUGCAUGUGCGCGCGUCGGCAAUGGCGCCGCCACUGGAGCACUUGCGUGGUCGUUGACCACGUCGAGGGGAAGAAGACGUUGUGUUGGCCGUUGAUUUGAUAGUUAGCGUCCGAGAUCAGAUGGGUGCACACCGAAUCAAGCAAUUGGGUUUGGGCCACCCGAUGGUUGAAGUGCGGCUCAUAUCCGAUCAGAUAAUAUCCCUUUGUUUCAUUAAAUCACAAGCAUUAGAUGAAGAUCUUGUGGCCAUUGAUGCCUACCGGUUUGGGCUAUAAUCCGAGUCGUAUGCUGUGGAUCAUGUGGAUCUGGGUCUGGCGCGGUUGUAGAUGAUCCGAGCCGUCGAUUAGAUCUCGGGCGUGUGUGGGUCGAGCAGCAGGUGAGGAGUAGGGGGGUGAAUCAGCGCCGUCGGAUCGCGGGUGUACGACUGUGAUUAGAUCUUGCCGUACCCUUUGGCCUGUUGUAUCGGCACCCUUGGAUCUUGAUCGGGCGGUGAAGAGAGAUUACCGCUUCAAUGGAUCUCGAUCCGUCUAUUUGUGAUUGGGCGAUCGAAACUCAAACGUACCCCUUCGACCAGACUUCUUUCAUAAAAGCCCUUGCGCUUUAUUAUAAUCAACCCGCCAUCCUCUCCUUCGCUGAAGGUAUAACAAAUAGGUCCACAAAUUAUAAAAUGAACCCCGAGGACUUAAGAAAUUAUUCCCACAGUACAAAGGGUAAUCAAAAUGAGUAAAUUAAUAUGGAAAAUGAGUUUUAGGUAUAAAAUUAAUCCUAGAAACUUAGAAAAUUUAUAUUUUGUUCAUUUUAACUCUGAUUUAACCCAUUCCAGUUGCGUUAGCUUCAUAAAAAAUAUUUUCUACGCAGUAGCAACAUCAUGUAUACCAUAUUCCAUACCUUUAUAAUUAGAUAAGUGUUUAAUCUAUAUUCAGUAGAUUAACUCCACUAAUCUAGGUUAAUCUCUCUAUAAUUAUAUCCUGAUUAAAAUGAAAUCCCUAAUCAAGUUAUAAUCUAGAUUAAAGUUGAAUUAGUUAUUUAGAUUAUAUUUCUCCUAUACUGCAUAUUAAUCAAUUUAUAAUAUAAUAGAACUUCGGAAAAUCAUAUCUUUCUAACCGUAACUCCGAUUUUAGUGGUUCUCGAACCUAGGAUCUAGUUACGAUAUGUAGAAUAUUAUUAUACAGUUUGUUCUUACAUUUGAUGUGAUGUUAAUUUUGCCUAUACCAUGUCUGUUUGUAUUGCUAUGAUUAGCAGCGAGGUUACGAGUCAUCUGAAGAUCAUCUUGGUGCCUCGAAUCUUGGGUCUCACGCAAGUUGUGCCCUUGAUCACUUUUUUUUACCCAAUAAUAUUCUUGUUAAUCACUGUGACGUGCUCAGGUUAAUCAGAUGGGACCUAAUAGGUUUCUCUAGAGUUGUUUAUCUCACACCUUGUUUACCACUAAACUUUUGGGUAGUUUUGCUAUUGCUCUACCUGGUUUUGGGAUUAAUAUUACAUUACGAUCUUGUUCCAAUUAUACUAUUGUUUUAAUUAUUGUUCAUGAAAAGAUCAUUGUGUUAAUUGGAACAUGGAGCUUAACUUGAGAAAUACGUGCUACCACAAGGGUGGAAUGGGACGCUCUUGGCUGACUAAUUAGAAAAGCUAGUGGAGGACUACCUUACCCUAAAGGGGUAAGGGCAGUAGGGGAGUUGCGUAUAGGGAGGUUCUCGAUUCGAUCAUGCUGCGAUGGCUUUUCGGACGAGCUAUUCCUAUAUUGCCCUUCCUAGAAACUAUGACGGGUUUUCUGAAGCUAGUGGAACUUUGUAAAGGCCUCGUAGUGGAUCCCUAGCCAUUCACCUCAGAAGUGUCUAAGGGUCUAGCUAAUCCUGGCUAGAUGGGAUACACGACUUGUGGGUAAAGGGCGUAACCUCUGCAGAGUGUACAACCGGUAUAUCAGUCGUGCUCGCGGUCAUGAGCAGCUCAGGACUUUCGCGUGAUUAAUUUAUGGAACUAAACUUAAUAUGUCAUAUGCAUUGCAUCGCAGGUGUUGUUAUUAUCAAUUGUGAUCUCUUUUUUAAUUGAGUUGGUAUCUACUUAUACUUAGUAACUGCUAAUAAAAUCUUGACCAACUUUAAAAGCAAUGCUCAGCUUUAACCAUCUCCUUUGGUAAGCCUUACACUUCACAUGAACUCCCGCCUUUGGUGAGUUCAUGCACAUUAUUCCCCACAACUUGUUGAGGGAUGAAAGUAUGUGAGCUCACCUUGUUGUACUCACAUCCCCCCAGGUCAAGGACAGGUACCAUUGGAUAAGGAGUAUGAAGGAUACUGUGAUGAGUUCGUGAGUGGUCUAGGCCGUCGUCUCCCAAUCAACUUUGGUUGCUGGAUCGUUGUCUUCAUAUGAUGUAAUUAUUUAACUAUUUUGUACAGAACUCCAUUAUAUAUUAAAGUUGUGGCAUUCGUUUCUGUACCAUGAGUCAUCAUAUGUGUGAGACUUGGUCCUAGCACACUUGGUGAUUAUUUUCACGCCUGGGUUUUGGUGCCCCUAGAACCCGGGUGUGACAGAAGUGGUAUCAGAGGGAUGUUGACUGUAGGACGAAACCUAGAUAGAACUGGAUAACCCUUACCUACUUAUCUUUGCUACUCUGAUUUUUUUCUAAACUUACCUUAAUCUUUUCUCAUCUAUUGCUGUUGUACUCUGAUUACUGUUACCUUUUCUUUUCUAAAGACAAAAGUGGAUUUCACACUUUGAAAUCCUGUACCUAAAGUGACCUUUAGGAAUAGGAGACCUAAUCUUAGGAACCGAAUCAAAACUUUUUUUGUAAAUAUUUAUAUGCUUGAGUGUUUGUCCUUAUGAUAAUUGCUUGAUUCGAUUCUUUGAUUGAGUGUGAUGAAUUGUGGAGUAAUAUUCACAAUUGCAUUUGCAUAUACACAUAGGCGUAAAAAUGUUUAUAAGAUAACUCGACAACUGAGGUUAAUCUCCAUUAAAAUAUAUCUAGCUCUAUAGAUUCAUCUUAUCUUGAAAGAUUUUAUCGUAUCCUAAUAGAUUCAUCUUGUCCUAAUCACUUUACUUAUCUCAGAGUAACAAAUAUGAUCUAAUCUAAAUUUAUUAGAUCUUAUCUAGUCUGAACUAGUUAUAGCAAUCUAGAUCCUAUCUAACCUAAUAUGAUCUAAUCUGAGUUACAUAAAUAGGUUAGUUAUAACUUGUGAAAUAGAUUAGAUCCUAUAAACAUGUUUUGGCCUAAGCUAGUUCCUUAGAUCAACUCAGCCAUACACUCCUAAUAGGUUACAUAAUCCAUCUAUUCUAACCUAUUGAUAAACAAGAUUCUGUUCUACCCAUAUACCCCAGCUAUUUUAACUAUAUCUCCCUAGCUUGGAUGGAGACACCGAGACCGAAGGAAAGGAGGAGAUCAACCUCGACAAGGAAGAAUAAGGUACAACCCCUAUCUCCAGAUGCAUCAAGAUCCACCAUCCGGGAUAGAAGUUUUUCUUACCCUAAUCCUUCUCACCUCAUUGUAGGCUUUCUCUAACCAUAACCUACCUAAUAAAUGGUUGGACACCGAAGAUACCCAUGUAAGAACUUGCACAAAAAAUGGUAUUGGAACCAAUUAAAAACAAAAGAAGAGAAAACGAACCAAACUAAAUAUAUCCUUUUCUUUAGUAAUCUCGAGGACGAGAUUAUUUUUAAGGGGUAGAAUUUGUAAUAUCUCAAAAUCCUACUUUUGAGAAUAUAGUAAAACUCUUUAUAGGCUAUGAAUCAGAGUACCUUUUAAUCAUAUUCAUGGUAGCUUUGAAGUUACAUCUCUUAAUAUAUAUACAUAUAUAAUCUAAUAAAAUAUUAAAUGAAAAGGAUCCCUAUGUGAACUAAGUUAUUCCUCUGUUAAAACCAUAUAACUAUAAUUUCUCCCUAAGAAUUUUAGUUAAACCAUCUCUAAAUAAAGGAUUUUAUACAUUAUAAUUUAUCCUUCGUGAAAAUACCUAUUUUUGGGUGUUUUGGAUUUCAUACUUAAACGCAAGUGUUUAAAUAAGUAUUAAUAUAAAUAUAAUAAAAUCUUGGCAUCUCAUGACUAGAGUUUUGGUUGUGUAUUUAUUUUGAAGUUGAAACAUAAACUCAGAUUUGAGUGCUGAAUUUAGAAAUUCAAAAUCAAAAGAGAAAUAAAAAAGAUUAUUAAGGUUGUAAGGGUAGCCUGCCAUUUUUUGUUCUGCCUUUUUUCAUUUCCUGUUUUGCCCUCAUCCUUGUCCGGCAGUAAAAAAUGAAAUCUGUAAGAAUUGUGAAUCGAACUUAAGACCUGCUGCUAGAUUAGAGACAACAUAUCCACCACACCACAUCUUAUUUUAUUGUAGUGGCAGACAACCAGAACUGCUUUAACACCACUGACCGGGUGGCGACCUGGUGCAUGAACUGGGCGUGCAAGUUCGGCUGCCUGAUUGACGCCAAGCAGUACCAUACCAAGUACAAGAACAGCUGGUGCGAAGGCUUCGGGAGAGGCGUCUGUCACUGCCAGUUCUGCGACUGAUUCUCACGAACAGUCAUCUUGAAAUAAAUAGAUCAUCAUGUAAUAAAAGCCCCGUGGUCGUACAAUAUAAUUUUAAAAAUGCCGAUUGUAGGGAUGGAAUCAGAUGGAAAAUGUUGUAGUGAUUAAAGGCCCCUCUGCCUUUGGCAAUAGUAUAAUGUUCUGCGCUUUGAAACAAACACUGGCUACCCUUGGAAUGAUUUGGCGGACGAUCUUUAUAUGGCCUCCUUACUCUAGGCGUUCUACAGUGUGCGUACAAAUUUAAUUAUUUGGUUUGUUUUUGUUUAGAUAAACAUUUUUUAAUGCUUCGGUUUACCACGGGCACAAUUCAACCCACCGCCCUUCUCCUAAUAGGCCAGGGUGGCCAGCUCAUUCACUCCCUUCCUCUCCCACAGAUGCCGGCCUACUAGCUGCCUCAACCAUAGUCCAUAGCCUACCCAACCUCCUCUCUACUGUCACCCGUUGUUUGAAUUUCGGGGUUGGAGGAUGGAGCAGGGAAGAAAUUCUUGGAGCUAUCGUUUUCCUUCAGCAUUAAUAUAAUUAAUUUUAUACUAGGUGAGUGUUCGUGCGUUACAACCGAAACAUAUAAUACCACAAAAAUAUGUAUAAAUGUGUGUUAUAUAGAUGACUGGAAACAAUGUAAAGUAAUGGAAUUUAGGAAUCUACUAUUUGUUACUAAAUCUUCUACUUGUAUCAAACUAAGCAAUAGAAAAUAUUAUGAUUCUAAAAUGAUGGAUAAAAGUUGACUUGUGACUUUACAUAGUCAUCCAAAGAAAAGAUAUAUAGAUGGCUGGGAACAAUGCAAAAUAAAUCUUGUAGAAUGAGUAACAUUGCUAAAUACCAUACCAUGGUACACCUAUCUACAAAUAGAUUCAGAACCUAUACUUGCACAUAUUCAGGGAAUAACUCAGAGAGUCACAAACACAAAAUCGCAAGCUCUUUCCAGUCAGCAUCCAAAAAUGACACAUUCUGAUUGUCAACUACUUUUUAGAGGGAUUGAGUUAGUUCUUCAAUCACUGCCAUUAAGCAGCUGCAUAUUUUCAAAGGAUGAAAAGAUGAGAAGCAACAAAUUAGAGCAAUGUAGCCAUUAACUCAAGCAGAACUAAUCUUAUUGCUUAAUGGUUCACCUUCACAUGCAGCUAAUUCCAAAUCGUGUAGGCUCCUCUGAUGUGAACAUGAUAGCCUCCAAAGACCUUUUUGGCAGGACCUUUAUGGGACAUGCAUGACAAACAUGUAAGUGUUGUCUUUAAGAUAAGAAGCAAAGUUAAGUCCAAUAUUUAUAUAGCCCAUAUUAUUACAUCAAAAUGUGUGAAUGUGAUUUCCUUGCGAAAAUGUCAUAUAAUUUGAAACAAAUAGUAUCAGUGACUGGAUAACUAAAUAACAGUCAAGUGAUUGAAGCGAUGUACCACUUGCUAGCUUCCACAGUGAUCCAUCCUCUAAUGUUUCUUCAUCUGCUAGCUCCAAGUUCGAUAUUGAAAAAAUUCAUUUAAUCUGUAGUGAGAACUCAUCGAAUCAUAUUGCAACAUGCCAUGGCAAUGAAACAUAUAAUGAGCUAGAGAAGACAAAGAGUAAGUACUCCUAUAUAUAUAUACUACUUAUUAAGGCUGUAAGGGUAGCCUGCCAGUUUCUGUUCUGCCUUUUUUUAUUUCCUGUUUUGCCCUCAUCCCUGUCCGGCAGUAAAAAAAAUGAAAUCUGUAAGAAUUGUGAAUCAAACUCAAGACCUGCUGCUAGAUUAGAGACAACAUAUCCACCACACCACGUCUUAUUUUGUUGUUAUAGUAGAAGAUAUGAGAGUUAUUAAAAGUAAGGUAUGGCUGAUGCCACACUAAGCCAUAAUGGCUCAUCCGCCGCUGCUGUCCGGCAAACCAUCCCAUUCUGUGACGCGGGACAUCGAGCAACUCCUGAUUUGGGGCACUCUAGUCCCAUGUGACAAAAUCCCCAAUUCCCAUUCAGCCAUUCCUAUCGUGCAAGCCAUCACACACUCCAGACGUUGGGCCCACAUUGCAGACUACGGGCGCACAUGUGGCAGCACCCUUAGUUUUGCACACACCAGACCCACGUCUGCUCGCGCAAAAAGUUGCCUCAAUUUGACACUAGCAGGAGCAUUUGACCACAAUUGCUUUCUCUGAAGAAGGAAGGCUUAUAAGCCGGUAGAAGCUAUGUUGGCUGGCCGGUAUGGUCAUAAAAAUGUGCAAACCGUGACGACGACAUAGGUCGCAUGGGUUGUGUUUCUUUGGUGUGGCCCAAGUAGCUGCCAGGAGGCCGCACACUUCUUACCCUGACCCAGCUUGGCUUUAGGGUCAGUCUCCCUUGCUUUCUCUGCCAUCGAGCCCUCGCCCUCUAGCUCUUCCUGCUAGCGCUGUCUUCGUCCCGUGCUCUCCUGUUCAUCGUCGAUCUCAGCCAUCUCAGGAGCACCCGCUCACUCCCAGACACCCGCGCAAAGGAAUCCCCCACGAUCUCCCUCCAAACUGCCCACUCCCUCCACGAUCUCUCCCUCUAGCUCAUGAUCCCUCCGCCCGCCCCCACCCCCCGCCUGCCACGCCCACAGGAGCAACAAGCCAACAACCCACACUCAGCCCCGCUACCCCGAUCCGUCGCCAUAAAUCCGCUACCUCCUCCUCGAGUCCUGCUUGAUCGCCCCAUGCUCGACCGGUCGAUCGGACGGAAGGGCAGCCCUGACCGUGACCACAGCGAGAUGUGUGACGAGUGAGGGCGGUGGCAGGGGUUGCGACCAACGACGGAGAGCCACACAAAGGAGCCCGUCGGCGAUGUUUUCCUCAAGGUUCGCUCGCUCAUUCCUUCCUUCCUUGUGCUAUUGGCGUGUGAUCCUAGCUAGCGCUCUCUUGAUUUCAUCCUUAUCCACGUGAAUCCUGGAUCACACUGCAUGCAGAUCGGAUUACUAGAAGGCCAAACCAGCUGCUCGCAUUCACUGGUGCACGGUGUAGGAGCUGAGAGCUCCGUUCCUAUGGCCGGGCCCCACCUCUCUUGGGCCCUUGUGCAGAUACGCAGAGGUAGUGACCCCUAAUUUGUUUGUCAUGUCCCCUAAUUUGUUUGUCAGAGCUACUUGAGGAUGUCAAUGAGGUAUGGCUCCGCUGGUUCAUCAAUAUUCAGUAAUUACAAGGCAUUAUGAGUUAGCAUGCUCCCUCCUGCUAAGCUAGCUAAAUGUGGUUAUCAGGUCUCAAUAAGUAUCCAUUUUUAAAAGUAUAAAUUGUUAUAGCCAUACAUGCAAGUCUUUAUUUUGGAAAUAACCAAAGGUUCUGAAAGUGCAUUGUGCUAACUCGUCAAUCAUUCCUAAAAUGCGAUUCCUUUUUUCAUUCAGAGUUCGGUUGGACAAAUUAAGAUGGAUUGAGAUCUUAGUUGUUAAGGUAGAAGCAAAAGCACCACCACUGAAUCCUGUACUUUAAACGGUGAUAGCAGCAGUUGCGGUCUUCGAUAUCUUAGUGUGUUACUUGGUGAUAGCAGCAGCUGCGAUCUCCAAUAUUCUAGGGCAUGUUUGCCUCCCUCUUCUAAACUUAGAGAUCUAAAAGCUUUAGAAUGUUUUAGCUUUCUUUUGAUGUCCAAAUCUCUAAUGUAAGGUGGGCUAAAGGUUAAAGCCAACUUUAGACCACCUGAUGCAUAUAAGGAAGAAGGGUCCACAUGCACCAUUCUCUGUGGCAUAGCAAAAUCGAGCUCGAUGUCCUUGAAGAUUGAUCAAGAUAAUAUUAGUCAGUACUGAAUUUAAUUUUAAUGACAAGUUUGUAAUGGGUAGGAUAAUAAGGGAUAUGUUAUAGGUUGUUGGUUUCUUGGAUGAAUAUGCUGUUGCAUAGGGUUAGGCCUGAAAGGAGAAACAGAACAUGAUUGGUUUUUGUAGCUCUCCUCCCCAAAUACAACAUCAGAUGUAAUUUUACUACUGUGAUUAAGUUGUAUCACAUAUUCACAGUAGUAUUAUUGUGUUCUUCAAGCAAGUCAAUUACAGUGAGCUUUUAGUCAUGAAUUUACAGUAGUCUAUGAAAGAUCAUUCUUGAAUUUUUGCCUUUAAAUUGUCUUGUUAAAUCUUGUAUACUACACUACUAGGUGAGUGCUCGUGCGUCAUAGGCCUGAGUUUCUCUUCAACGUCAUCUCGGACAGCUCGUGGAUGUCGUCCUCCAUCUCAUAACAGUAUAACACACAUUUGUAUAUAUAAGUUAUCGAGCUAUUAUAUGAUCCCGUUGCAACGCACGGGCAUUGAGCUAGUAAAAAAAGAAGAGAAGAACCUCUACAGCUCUCGACCCACUCAUCUUUUCCCUCUGCGCGGCCGUUUGGGCUGAAUUCCCCCCUCCAAGCGGCACAACUGCAGCUAGCGCGUCGACGCAUGGGGCCAAUGUGUUAGCCUCCUUCACACGCUUACGUUCAAAAUCUCGGGUCACUGGCCAGUGGGUCCUGUCGGUCGGAUUCUUCCCUAUCCUCUCUAACAGCCACCCACGAUAUCGUAGGGAGCGCAACAAACUCCAUUGCAGCCAGUCGAAAUUCUCUCUAUCCCUAGAUUCGUGGCUUUGGCCAUAUAUGGCUCGACACCCGCACCCCUCAUGGCCGAGACACCAAGGGUGGACUGUGCGCCACCACACACCAGCCCUGCCAGUCAUGGCGUUCGCUGCGCGGAGCAGCAUCACCACCUGGCUUUUUCACCAUCUCACGCGACGCCUCCAUCCUCGACCUCAAGACACAACUCUACCCCACCUAGGAAGUGAAUGGAAUCCCACCGCCCCCAGCGCUGUAGCGGCCACUACAACUCUGCGGCUCUGCCAGGAACAGGGCGGAGUAGUGGCAGGCACCGUCCUUCUUUUUGUUUGGCUAGGGACUUCAAAAUUAUCUGGAUCCGCUACUGCCAUGGACCCGCGUUUCGCCAUGGGUAGAAUUCGGUGCUGCCUAAUCGUCGGUAAGCUCUCUGCGCAUCUACGUAUCUAGUUUAGGGGGUGCAUGUGCGCGCGUCGGCCAUGGCGCCGCCACUGGAGCACUUGCGUGGUCGCUGACCACGUCCAGGGAAAGAAGACGUUGUGUUGGUCGCUGAUUUAAUCGCUAGCAUCCGAGAUCAGAUGGGUGCACCCCGAAUCAAGCGAUUGGGUUUGGGCCACCCGAUGGUUGAACUGCAGCUCAUAUUCGAUCAGAUAAUAUCCCUUUGUUUCAUUAAAUCUUGAGCAUUAGAUGAAGAUCUAGUGGCCAUUGAUGCCUACCGGUUUGAUCUAGUGGAUCUAGGUCUGGCGCCAUUGGAGAUGAUCCGAGCCGUCAAUUAGAUCUCGGGCGUGCGUGGGUCAAGCGGCAGGUGAGGAGCAGGGGGGUGAAUCAGCGCCGUCGGAUCGCGGGUGUACGACUGUGAUUAGAUCUUGCUGUACCCUUUGGCCUGUUGUAUCGGCACCCUUGGAUCUCGAUCGGGCGGUGAGGAGAGAUUACCGCUUCAAUGGUUGGCUGAUCUAAUCUGGUCCGUCUAUUUGUGUUCGGGCGACCGAAACUCAAACGUACGAGACUUCUUUCAUAAAAGCCCUUGCGCUUUAUUAUAAUCUACCCGCCAUCCUCUCCUUCGCUGAAGGUAUAACAAAUAGGUCCACAAAUUUAUAAAAUGAACCCCGAGGACUUAAGAAAUUAUACCCGCAGUACAAAGGGUAAUCAAAUUGAGUAAAUUAAUAUGGAAAAUGAGUUUUAGGUAUAAAAUUAAUCCUAGAAACUUAGAAAAUUUGUAUUUUGUCCAUUCUAACUUCGAUUUAACCCAUUCCAGUUGCGUUAGCUUCAUAAAAAUAUUUUCUACACAGUAGCAACAUCAUGUGUAUCAUAUUCCAUAUCUUUAUAAUUAGAUAAGUGCUCAAUCUAUAUUAAGUAGAUUAACUCCACUAAUCUAGGUUAAUCUCUCUAUAAUUAUAACCUGAUUAAAAUGAAAUCACUAACCAAGUUAUAAUCUAGAUUAAAGUUAAAUUAGUUAUUUAUAUUAUAUUUCUCCUAUAUUGUAUAUUAACCAAUUUAUAAUAUAAUAGAACUUCGGAAAAUCAUAUCUUUCUAACCGUAACUAUGAUUUUAGUGGUUCUCGAACCUAGAAUCUAGUUACGAUACAUAGAAUAUUAUUAUGCAGUUUGUGCUUAAGUUUGGUAUGAUGUUAGUUUUGCCUAUACCAUGUCUGUUUGUAUUGCUACGAUUAGCAGGGAAGUUACGAGUCAUCUGAAGAUCAUCCUGGUGCCUGGAAUCUUGAGUCUCAGGCAAGUUGUGCCCUUGAUCACUUUUCUUUACCCAAUAAUAUUCGUGUUAAUCAUCGUGGCAUGCUUAGGUUAAUCCGGUGGGACCUAAUAGGUUUCCCUAGACUUGUUUAUCUCACACCUUGUUUACCACUGAACUUUUGGGUAGUUUUGUUAUUGCUCUACCUGGUUUUGGGAUUAAUAUUACAUUAUAAUCAUGUUCCAAUUAUACUGUUGUUUUAAUUAUUGUUCUUUACAAGAUUAUUGUGUUAAUUGGAACCUGGAGCUUAACUUGAGAAACAUGUGCUACCACAAGGGUGGAAUGGGACGCCCUUGGCUGACUAAUUAGGAAAGCUAGUGGCGAACUACCUUACCCGAAAGGGGCAAGAGUAGUAGAGAAGUUGUGUAUAGGGAGGUUCUCGGGUCGAUCAUGCUGCGAUGGCUUUUCGGACGAGGGAUUCCUAUAUUGCCCUUCCUAGAAACUGUAGCGGGUUUUCUGAAGCUAGUGGAACUUUGUAAAGGCCUCGUAGUGGAUCCCUAGCCAUUCACCUCGGAAGUGUCUAAGGGUCUACCUAACCCUGGCUAGAUGGGAUACACGACUUGUGGGUAAAGGGCGCAACCUCUGCAGAGUGUACAACUGGUAUAUCAGCCGUGCUCACAGUCAUGAGCAGCUUAGGACUCUCGCAUGAUUAAUUUAUGGAACUAAACUUAAUCUGUCAUAUGCAUUGCAUCGUGGGUGUUGUUAUUAUCAAUUGUGAUCUCUUAUUUAAUUGGGUUGGUAUCUACUUAUACUUAGUAACUGCUAAUAAAAUCUUGACGAACUUUAAAAGCAAUGCUCAGCUUUAACCAUCUCCUUUGGUAAGCCUUACACUUCACAUUAUAAUACCAAAAUUAUAAAGCCUAUAAAAGAGUUGAUCUCCUUAGGUGAUUUGUCAUCUACUUCUUGAGACAAGUGACUAAACAUAAUUAAAAGAGAAUAAUUCUUUACUAAAACACAAAAAGAAAAGCCAUGCACCAUAUUGGAUUUUUGUUUGUGUAUUUAAUAACAUAAUAACAUGGAUAAAAAUAUAAUAAUGAAUUGAAGAUUUGCAUUAAAACAUAAAUUUGAAUUUUGAAUUUAAAAUGGAAUUAGGAAAGGAAAGGAAAGAAAAGGAAUAAGUGAGUGCUAAGCAAAUAUAAACAGAAUAUAUAUAUAUAAAUUAAAAACACUAGUUCAUACUGGUGAAGAGUAAAAUUUGUGCACUUAAUUUUUAUGAUGAAGGCACAACUCAAGUUUGAAGUUCAAAUACUGGGAUUUGAAUAAAAAGAAAGUAAAUUUGAAAUGGGAUAAAAACAGAAAAAUCUGAAUAGAUGAAUGAGCCACCUGGGCUGAAACUCCACGACCGGCCCAUUAUCCUAGUUCUCCACCGCGUGGCCCAGUGUGGCCAGCCGAUGCGCCGACAUGUAGGUCUCGCCGAAUAGCCUCUCUUGUGCUCGCUCCUCACCCGACCUCAGUAUUCACGCAGACCUCCUCUUUGUUUUGCGCUAGGGAAAUAGGUGUGAGGUGCUCGGAUUAGCCGGGAUGAUGAUCGCCGGCGGGUCUCCGCCGCUUGUGUUGCGCGGCGCCGCUGCCUGGCCACGGUCCGAAGACGAUGGCGCGCGACCAUUGGAUCUGUAGGGUGCGCUGUGGAUCAGAUUAAACAUACUGAUUCGGCCGCGUUCAAUUCAGACCGUCGAUUAGAUUCUGGAUCGGGCUGGUGGGCUCGUGGCCGUAGUUGGGUGAUCGGGCGAUCGGGCGACCACUAUUUGAUACUGGUUCGGGCAACCCCAAAUUUAAUCCUAGACGUUAGUUUUUGAUCGGACGGUCACAGUGAAUGAUACCCCUUCGCUCGGGUUAUUUGCUAAAGAGACCCUACCUUUUAUUGUUAUUAACCCACAGUACAUACCUCGGGGUUCUCUGUGUCUGGGGAAAUCUUUCGAGAGAGCCCCUGGCCUUUUAGAUAUCAAUGCGCACAGUCCCGAGGAAAAUAAAAAUAGAGAAUUACUUAGGGAAAUUGAUUUUUAAUACAAAAAUAAUUCUAGAAACUUGUAUAAAUCAUAUUAAAUUUAUUUUAGCUCCAAAUUGAUUCAUUCUGUAGACAUUAAUUUUAUUUUAAUAUUGUCUAUCACCUAGUACCUCUGUUUAGCCAUGAAACUUGAACUAAAAUUAUUCACAUGAAUUAUGUUAUUCUAGGUCCUAAAUAACUUCGGAAAUUCAUAACUUAAUAACCGUAGAUCCAAAUUUAGUGAUUCUUGUUUCUACGAUGUCGUUACGCAACAUAGAAUAUUAUUAUGCAUCCUGUUCUGUUGUUUGGUGUGAUGUUAAUUUUUGCAAUACUAUGUAUUUUGUAUUGAUGCGAGUAGACGAGCAAGCCACAAAGGAUCCAGGGGUUCAGCAGGUGGAGACUGCUGAGCAGGAGCUCGUUGAAGUCAAGUUGUGUCCUUGAUCACUUCUUUUUACCCAGUAAUGUUCUUAUUAAUCAUAAUGAUCUGUAUAGGUUAAUUUUGAUGGGACCCACUAGGUUACCCUAGUUUGAACUAUCUUUAUACCUUGAUUCCACUGAACUUUUUGGGUAGUACUUGCUAUUGCUUUAUGUGGUUUUGGGUAUGGAGAUACAUUAUUCAUGAUCACAUUUCUAUUAUCUGUUUAUUAUUUACUGUUCAUGUUAAGAUCAUUAUGUUAAUUGGAACAUGGAGCGACCACCCGGGAAAACAGUGCUACCACAAGGGUGGUAUGGGACACCCUUGGAUGACUAACUAGGAAAGCUAGUGGCUGACUACUUUACCCGAAAGGGGCAAGGGCAGUAGGGGAGUGGUCAGUGUAGGGAGGUCCUUGGGUUGAUUUUGCUGCGAUGGCGGUCAGGCGAGGGAUCCCUGCAUUGGAGCUUCCUAGAAACUGUAGCUGGUUUUCUGAAGCUAGUGGAACUUUGUAAAGGCCACAUAGUGUUACCCUGCCUCGCUUCCUUGGUAGAGGUGUAUGAGAUUCAUAACCCCUUGGCAGAUGGGUAACAUGACUUGUGGGUAAAGAUGUGCAACCUCUACAGAUUAAAACUGAUAUACUAGUUGUGCUCACGGUCAUGAGCAGCUCGGACCCUCACAUGAUUAACUUAUGAAAUUAAAUUCAAUUUGUCAUUUGCAUCGCAUUGGGAUUAUUUUAUUAUUACUUUUAUUUAUUAUUACUAUGGUUUGGUAUUUAGUUACACUUAGUAACUUCUAAUAAAAUUUUGACCAACUUAUAAAAGCAAUGCUCAGCUUCAACCUUUAUUUUGUUGAUCAGCCUUACACUUCACAUGAACUCCCACCUUUGGUGAGUUCAUGCACAUUAUUCCCCACAACUUGUUGAGCUAUGAACGUAUGUGAGCUCACCCUUGAUGUCUCACACCCCCACAGGAGAAAAACAGGUGGUUCAAGAGGAGCCACACAACGAGGAGUUCGACUUGAUCAAGGUGGCGUCUCCCAGUCAGCUUUGUGGCGCCAGAGAAAUAAUAUUUAGUUCGUUUUAUAUUUAUCAUUUAUUUUGUAAGACUUCCGCUAUGUAAUAAG
rnacentral:lncRNA from 1 species